rnacentral:tRNA from 1 species
GCCACUGUCGUCUAACCCGGUAUGGCGCCGGUCUCGAACACCGGUUUCCGCAAGGAUAUCCCGGUUCAAAUCCGGGCAGUGGCG